rnacentral:rRNA from 1 species
GACGAACGUUGGCGGCGUGCUUAAUACAUGCCAGUCAACUGAAGCAGUGGUAGCAAUAUCGCUGUGGAGGUGGCGCACGGGUGAGUAACACGUAGGUAAUCUGCCUUCAGGUCUGGCAUAACUCCGGGAAACCGGGGCUAAUAGCAGAUGAUGCAGCGGCUCGACAUCGAGACAGUUGUUAAAGCUAUGGCGCCUGAAGAUGAGCCUGCGUCUGAUUAGCUAGUUGGCGGGGUAACGGCCCACCAAGGCAACGAUCAGUAGCUGGUCUGAGAGGAUGAUCAGCCACACUGGAACUGAGACACGGUCCAGACUCCUACGGGAGGCAGCAGUAAGGAAUAUUGCUCAAGGGGAGAAAUCCUGAAGCAGCAACGCCGCGUGAGGGACGAAGGGCUUGUGCUUGUAAACCUCUGUAGUGAGAGAAAAAAAUCCCAAUCUUUGGGACAUGAUGGUAUCUCAAAAGUAAGCCCCGGCUAACUACGUG